CAGUCGCCGCGGUAAUACAGAGGGUGCAAGCGUUAAUCGGAAUUACUGGGCGUAAAGCGCGCGUAGGUGGUUUGUUAAGUUGAAUGUGAAAUCCCCGGGCUCAACCUGGGAACUGCAUCCAAAACUGGCAAGCUAGAGUAGGGCAGAGGGUGGUGGAAUUUCCUGUGUAGCGGUGAAAUGCGUAGAUAUAGGAAGGAACACCAGUGGCGAAGGCGACCACCUGGGCUCAUACUGACACUGAGGUGCGAAAGCGUGGGGAGCAAACAGGAUUAGAUACCCGGGUAGUCCCUGUCUCUUAUAC
rnacentral:rRNA from 1 species